UACGUAGGGUGCAAGCGUUGUCCGGAAUUAUUGGGCGUAAAGAGCUCGUAGGCGGUCUGUUGCGUCGGCUGUGAAAACCCGGGGCUCAACUCCGGGCCUGCAGCCGAUACGGGCAGACUAGAGUUCGGCAGGGGAGACUGGAAUUCCUGGUGUAGCGGUGAAAUGCGCAGAUAUCAGGAGGAACACCAAUAGCGAAGGCAGCUCGCUGGGACGGUACUGACGCUAAGGCGCGAAAGCGUGGGGAGCAAACAGG
rnacentral:rRNA from 1 species